rnacentral:rRNA from 1 species
GGUCAAGUGAAGAAGCGCAUACGGUGGAUGCCUUGGCAGUCAGAGGCGAUGAAAGACGUGGUAGCCUGCGAAAAGCUUCGGGGAGUCGGCAAACAGACUUUGAUCCGGAGAUCUCUGAAUGGGGGAACCCACCUAGGAUAACCUAGGUAUCUUGUACUGAAUCCAUAGGUGCAAGAGGCGAACCAGGGGAACUGAAACAUCUAAGUACCCUGAGGAAAAGAAAUCAACCGAGAUUCCCUUAGUAGUGGCGAGCGAACGGGGAUUAGCCCUUAAGCUUCAUUGAUUUUAGCGGAACGCUCUGGAAAGUGCGGCCAUAGUGGGUGAUAGCCCCGUACGCGAAAGGAUCUUUGAAGUGAAAUCGAGUAGGACGGAGCACGAGAAACUUUGUCUGAACAUGGGGGGACCAUCCUCCAAGGCUAAAUACUACUGACUGACCGAUAGUGAACCAGUACCGUGAGGGAAAGGCGAAAAGAACCCCGGAGAGGGGAGUGAAAUAGAACCUGAAACCGUAUGCGUACAAGCAGUGGGAGCCUACUUGUUAGGUGACUGCGUACCUUUUGUAUAAUGGGUCAGCGACUUAUAUUCAGUGGCAAGCUUAACCGUAUAGGGUAGGCGUAGCGAAAGCGAGUCUUAAUAGGGCGUUUAGUCGCUGGGUAUAGACCCGAAACCGGGCGAUCUAUCCAUGAGCAGGUUGAAGGUUAGGUAACACUGACUGGAGGACCGAACCCACUCCCGUUGAAAAGGUAGGGGAUGACUUGUGGAUCGGAGUGAAAGGCUAAUCAAGCUCGGAGAUAGCUGGUUCUCCUCGAAAGCUAUUUAGGUAGCGCCUCAUGUAUCACUCUGGGGGGUAGAGCACUGUUUCGGCUAGGGGGUCAUCCCGACUUACCAAACCGAUGCAAACUCCGAAUACCCAGAAGUGCCGAGCAUGGGAGACACACGGCGGGUGCUAACGUCCGUCGUGAAAAGGGAAACAACCCAGACCGCCAGCUAAGGUCCCAAAGUUGUGGUUAAGUGGUAAACGAUGUGGGAAGGCUUAGACAGCUAGGAGGUUGGCUUAGAAGCAGCCAUCCUUUAAAGAAAGCGUAAUAGCUCACUAGUCGAGUCGGCCUGCGCGGAAGAUGUAACGGGGCUCAAACCACACACCGAAGCUGCGGGUGUCACGUAAGUGACGCGGUAGAGGAGCGUUCUGUAAGCCUGUGAAGGUGAGUUGAGAAGCUUGCUGGAGGUAUCAGAAGUGCGAAUGCUGACAUGAGUAACGACAAUGGGUGUGAAAAACACCCACGCCGAAAGACCAAGGGUUCCUGCGCAACGUUAAUCGACGCAGGGUUAGUCGGUUCCUAAGGCGAGGCUGAAAAGCGUAGUCGAUGGGAAACAGGUUAAUAUUCCUGUACUUCUGGUUACUGCGAUGGAGGGACGGAGAAGGCUAGGCCAGCUUGGCGUUGGUUGUCCAAGUUUAAGGUGGUAGGCUGAAAUCUUAGGUAAAUCCGGGGUUUCAAGGCCGAGAGCUGAUGACGAGUCGUCUUUUAGAUGACGAAGUGGUUGAUGCCAUGCUUCCAAGAAAAGCUUCUAAGCUUCAGGUAACCAGGAACCGUACCCCAAACCGACACAGGUGGUCGGGUAGAGAAUACCAAGGCGCUUGAGAGAACUCGGGUGAAGGAACUAGGCAAAAUGGCACCGUAACUUCGGGAGAAGGUGCGCCGGCUAGGGUGAAGGAUUUACUCCGUAAGCUCUGGCUGGUCGAAGAUACCAGGCCGCUGCGACUGUUUAUUAAAAACACAGCACUCUGCAAACACGAAAGUGGACGUAUAGGGUGUGACGCCUGCCCGGUGCCGGAAGGUUAAUUGAUGGGGUUAGCGCAAGCGAAGCUCUUGAUCGAAGCCCCGGUAAACGGCGGCCGUAACUAUAACGGUCCUAAGGUAGCGAAAUUCCUUGUCGGGUAAGUUCCGACCUGCACGAAUGGCGUAACGAUGGCGGCGCUGUCUCCACCCGAGACUCAGUGAAAUUGAAAUCGCUGUGAAGAUGCAGUGUAUCCGCGGCUAGACGGAAAGACCCCGUGAACCUUUACUGUAGCUUUGCACUGGACUUUGAGCCUGCUUGUGUAGGAUAGGUGGGAGGCUUUGAAGCGUGGACGCCAGUUCGCGUGGAGCCAUCCUUGAAAUACCACCCUGGCAUGCUUGAGGUUCUAACUCUGGUCCGUGAUCCGGAUCGAGGACAGUGUAUGGUGGGCAGUUUGACUGGGGCGGUCUCCUCCUAAAGAGUAACGGAGGAGUACGAAGG